UACAGAGGGUGCGAGCGUUGUUCGGAAUUAUUGGGCGUAAAGCGCAUGUAGGCGGUCUGUUAAGUCGCGUGUGAAAUCCCCAGGCUCAACCUGGGAAGUGCGCGCGAAACUGGCGGACUUGAGUGCUGGAGAGGGUGGCGGAAUUCCCGGUGUAGAGGUGAAAUUCGUAGAUAUCGGGAGGAACACCAGAGGCGAAGGCGGCCACCUGGACAGACACUGACGCUGAGACGCGAAAGCGUGGGGAGCAAACAGG
rnacentral:rRNA from 1 species